UACGUAGGUGGCGAGCGUUGUCCGGAUUUACUGGGCGUAAAGAGCGCGCAGGCGGUCGUGCAAGUCGCGUGUGAAAGCCCCCCGGCUCAACCGUGUGGUCUGCAGUCGAUACGGGCAGGCUAGAGGUUCGGUAGGGGAGACUGGAAUUCCUGGUGUAGCGGUGUAAAUGCGCAGAUAUCAGGAGGAACACCGGUGGCGAAGGCGGGUCUCUGGGCCGAUACUGACGCUGAGGAGCGAAAGCGUGGGGAGCGAACAGG
rnacentral:rRNA from 1 species